CAAACGCUGUGGGUCUUCUUCGUCUGCCUUAGGUCCUGCAGGACUCAUGUUUGUGUUCCUUCCUCGCAGCUCUCGAGGUGUACGCGCGCGCCGCCUCUGGAGGGUGGGAAGUGCCUUUGCUUCCGAGGCCAGGGAAGAAGGAACAGCAAUCUGAGAUUUUACAAGAUAAAUGCAACAGCAAGAAGUUACUAACAACGUUGGUUAUAAGCAAAGAGAAAACAGGUAGUAAAGCAAAAAGAAGAACCUCAAAGUUGUAAUACGCCAGAAACUUAAGGACAGAGCAUUUGUCAUAUUCCUAAUUCAGCAUGGCCUAACCAUGACCAACAAGGUGAGAGGCAGUUCACACCUCCUCUGGCCAAGCUCCAUCAGUGUGCUGCAUGAGCUGCCUACUCAAGGUGACACUCCAGCAAAAGCUGCCAUUCAGAACUUGGAAACCCAACCAAUAUGGAUAAAAGUAUCAGCAGUAAUGUGUGUCUUUAGUUUUUGCAUUUCAGUAGUUCAGAUUUCACUGAAAAUUCUUUGGGAUCUUCAGCACAUGGAAGAUUAGAAUCAGUAAUUUAGUAUUAUAAUGAAGACUAAUUAAGGCCUUUCCAAGAUACCAGAAGGUGAUCAAGGAAAGCUCUCUUCUUCCUUUGCAAGUCUAGUCUGGUGCUAUCAGAUUAAAUGAAGUGCAACUCACGGUUAAUGAAGUUUUUGCUAUUCUAUUAAAAUAAAAUUUAGUCUCUUAAAAUGCUUCCCUUCCAUACACAGUUUCUGUCCGUAUUUUGUCUAUUUUAGCAUAAUCAUAACCCAUAUUUAGCCCAGAAAAAUGUUUUUAGAUUUUACUAAUUUCAAAACAUUGUCAAAUAGACACACAAGUGUAUCUUCUCUAUGUAUUGACAGCCUCAUUCACACGCCUACAAGUUCAUCUAAGACUCUUUCCACUUAUGCAUAGAAAACAAAUGACCUUUCAGGGAAAUACCUAUCAGUUUUAAUCAAUGCUGCUGCUUUUCAGUUAGGAUUAUUAAAAAUCUCAAACAUUAAUCUCCUGUAAGUGCAGAAUGAGUCAUUUUAGAUACUGGUUUCUUUGGAGUUCGGUUGAUUUGUAGGAGUACAUACUGGAGUGAUUAAUGAGAUUUCAGUAGCUUUUUGCAUAGCUUCCUACCUAAAGCAAAUAAAAUAAAAUAAAAGUUAACAAACAAACAAAAACCCCAAACCAGCAAGGGCAAAUUAGUUGUGUGCCUUUCACUACUUCCUGUAAAAUCUUACACUGACUCCUAAAGGUUUCAUUUUGCAUGAAAGGUAUUUAAGCAAGAGUUUUAGCAGAUGAAAAAGACAUUCCAAGAACUUGUGAAUGUUCCUUAGGUUCUGCCUUAUAAAGUCUGUUAGGUGCACUUGGCACAGGCUGUGAGUCUGACCCUGAUUUCCAAGCACGUGAACGGCCAAAACAAAAUGCCUUUUCUGUAAUACUUUUUUUCCCUUUUUCUAAAAGUGUAUAUUAGGCACACAUCUGAAGAAACAAUAUUUUACUCCUUUAUUUUAAGUUUAGGUAGCAGUCACAAGAGAUUAGAUGCUGUUAAGUGUAAUGAAGCAUGAAGAUUACAAGAUAAAUGAACCUGAGGCUUUUCAGCUCGAUAGGAUCAUUCAGCACAUAAUGAUACAGAUUUUGUAUUUCAGACACAAAUGUCACCUUGGGGUUGAAAUCAUGCUAGAUGAAUCUGUGCGAACUUGUUUUAUAGUCAACCACUGGAUCCCUUAGCUUAAGAAGGAAGAAAGAUAAUGAUUCAAUUAACUAAAACUGCUGCUUUCAAAAAUGUGUUUUCCAGUGUGAAACUUAUUUUAUUCAUCCCUAAUUAUACAUUGCUGAAAACUGUUAACUGUUAUUAAGGAGAAAUAAGUCUGAGGUUUUGGGAGCAUGGCAGGUUUUUCCUGCUGUAAGCUCCACAAUGAUCUUUUCCUAUACUAAUCCUAGAUGGUGUAUAUUUUCCUUUGUUUCUACCCAACUUUCCUUUUUAUUUGUAAUGUACGUGUGACAUAUUCAAAAAAUUAGUGCCUUAAGAGCAGUUAAGAUAUUACUACCUUAAAAACACAUCAUUGUUACAUACAGUUGUAUUUGUUUUGCUGAGUAGGUUCCAGCUCAGUUACAGAAGAAGUUACAGAUAAUGCAAAAAACCUGUCUUAGAACAGCAGCUGUUGCUAUAGGCAGAUUGGCCAAAAGCCUGUCCCUAUAUUUCUUUACAUGGAAACAAAGGGAUAGAUGUAUGUAUUGUCUGAGUAGAGAACAUGAUGAUGUUGUGUGCCUGUGACAAAAAAUACAAUAGUAUUUUUUUGGAAAAGUAUACUUACUUAUGGAUUAAAAAAAAUUGGAAUAUGCCAUGUAUUAAGCUUGAAUUUGAUCAAGAUCAGUUGUUCUGGUAAUGUUCCUUCAGAGAUGAGAGUUUUAGUGACAGGGUAAAGAUACUUCUACAUCUGUGGAAUUUAAAGCCUGCUACUGUCAAGUUGCCAGGACCCUUAAAUGUGUGCUGAAGUGUCCUUCUCUCUUUUAGUAAAUCAAAAAUGUUUAUACUUACUGUCACAAGUAGUAGAAGAAUACCAACAAUUGCUUCUGUGUUUAGAAUUCUGUGGAGUCUGCUACCUGUGAGCAGACUCUGCUUAAAUUCUCUGAAACUACUAAUUGCUAACCUCAUUCUUGACAUACUUCAGCCUCCAACAGCCUGCUGAAACUUCUGUUACACCUUCUGGGAAUCUAUCUAUAGUAAUUUCUUUCUCUCCCCACAUGGCUCCAAGCCAGAAAUAUAUCCAUUUGCACAAAUGCUUCUUAACCUUGCUCACGGUUUUUUAAUUUUUUUUUCUUUCUGCUUCUCUGUUUGCCGGAUGCUUUUCUAGUAAAUUCAGUAUUUGCCAUGUUUGCUGUGUAAUGGACUGGUGGUUACAAUGCAUUUUCUAAACUACUGUUUGUUUCAGUUUUAGUGCACUGAAUAAAAUUAUUUCUCUGUUGUCAUUUUA